rnacentral:rRNA from 1 species
AGGUAUGGUCAUACCAGCACUAAUGCACCGGAUCCCAUCGGAACUCUACAGUUAAGUGUGCUUAGGGGAGAGUAGAAUUACGACGGGCUUUGUCACAGGACUUCCUCUGAAAUAGGCAAGACAUGACUA